UAGGGAAUCUUCGGCAAUGGACGGAAGUCUGACCGAGCAACGCCGCGUGAGUGAAGAAGGUUUUCGGAUCGUAAAGCCCUGUUGUAAGAGAAGAACGAGUGUGAGAGUGGAAAGUUCACACUGUGACGGUAUCUUACCAGAAAGGGACGGCUAACUACGUGCCAGCAGCCGCGGUAAUACGUAGGUCCCGAGCGUUGUCCGGAUUUAUUGGGCGUAAAGCGAGCGCAGGCGGUUAGAUAAGUCUGAAGUUAAAGGCUGUGGCUUAACCAUAGUACGCUUUGGAAACUGUUUAACUUGAGUGCAAGAGGGGAGAGUGGAAUUCCAUGUGUAGCGGUGAAAUGCGUAGAUAUAUGGAGGAACACCGGUGGCGAAAGCGGCUCUCUGGCUUGUAACUGACGCUGAGGCUCGAAAGCGUGGGGAGCAAACAGGAUUAGAUACCCUGGUAGUCCACGCCGUAACGAUGAGUGCUAGGUGUUAGACCCUUUCCGGGGUUUAGUGUCGCAGCUAACGCAUUAAGCACUCCGCCUGGGGAGUACGACCGCAAGGUUG
rnacentral:rRNA from 1 species